UUCAUUGAUAAGACCCACCAUAAAACUUCGGUUCGCCGCAAAACGGUGUUAAUAAUGGAACACGAGUAUUCCGAUCACCAAUCGCCAUGUAACUAGUCAACAUUCGUUAAAAAAAAGUCUGAUUCACAAAGAGUUGCGAAUAUAACAAAAAAAAAUUGAUAAACAAACAAAUGGAUAUACGGUAUGGCAAAAAGGUAAGGAAUGUGUUGCGUCGUGGUUUUCGUUUAGGUUGAAUUUUUUUUUGUUCUACAUAAUGAACCGAUGAUAAUUCGAAUUAUUUGCAAUCGUAGCUAAAUUAGCCAGAACAAAUGAAAUUACUUUAACCCCGGAUAGUAAACACAGAAUUUUAUUUUGAGUGGCGACGAGGAAAUAUUUUUAUUUUGUGUUGAAAAAAACAUAGCGUUCAGUGGCCUGUAUCACGUGACAUUUUUGUAUUUCCAGUUCACGAAGUAGCAGGUGCGAUUGUUUAUUGGUGUAAUCAACUGUAAAAAUGAUGGUGGACAAAUUAGUAAGGUACUCAAAACAGAAUAGCACCGCCAAGCCCCACUUUCCUUGAUUGGCAAAUAUUAGUACGAGGAAAAAACAAUAGCAAAGUGGUGUUACAGAUUUCAGAUCAAACUUCAUUGGACAACGAGGAGUUCAGUGAAAUUGCGUGCAAAUUAACAAGGAGUGCAGUAAGCGAUUCGGAAACGCCUGUCAAAUAAAUACAAGAUUUGAUUAAAUUAGAGUUCGUCUGGGUUUCG